AAAAAAGGUAAGCUACUAAGAGCGAAUGGUGGAUGCCUUGACUGGUAAAGGCGAUGAAGGACGUACUAGACUGCGAUAAGCUACGGGGAGCUGUCAAGAAGCUUUGAUCCGUAGAUUUCCGAAUGGGGCAACCCAAUGUAUAGAGAUAUACAUUACCUAUAUAGGAGCGAACGAGGGGAAUUGAAACAUCUUAGUACCCUCAGGAAAAGAAAUCAAUAGAGAUUGCGUCAGUAGCGGCGAGCGAAAGCGCAAGAGGGCAAACCCAGUGCUUGCACUGGGGGUUGUAGGAACUGCAAUGUGCAAGAGGUAAGUUUAGCAGAACAUUCUGGAAAGUAUAACCAUAGAGGGUGAUAGUCCCGUAUGCGAAAAACAAACCUUAGCUAGCAGUAUCCUGAGUAGGGCGGGACACGAGGAAUCCUGUCUGAAUCCGGGUCGACCACGAUCCAACCCUAAAUACUAAUACCAGAUCGAUAGUGCACAAGUACCGUGAGGGAAAGGUGAAAAGAACUGAGGUGAUCAGAGUGAAAUAGAACCUGAAACCAUUUGCUUACAAUCAUUCAGAGCCCUAUGUAGCAAUACAGGGUGAUGGACUGCCUUUUGCAUAAUGAGCCUGCGAGUUGUGGUGUCUGGCAAGGUUAAGCAAACGCGAAGCCGUAGCGAAAGCGAGUCUGAAUAGGGCGCUUAGUCAGAUGCUGCAGACCCGAAACGAAGUGAUCUAUCCAUGAGCAAGUUGAAGCUAGUGUAAGAACUAGUGGAGGACUGAACCCAUAGGCGUUGAAAAGCCCCGGGAUGACUUGUGGAUAGGGGUGAAAGGCCAAUCAAACUUCGUGAUAGCUGGUUCUCUCCGAAAUAUAUUUAGGUAUAGCGUUGUGUCGUAAUAUAAGGGGGUAGAGCACUGAAUGGGCUAGGGCAUACACCAAUGUACCAAACCCUAUCAAACUCCGAAUACCUUAUAUGUAAUCACAGCAGUCAGGCGGCGAGUGAUAAAAUCCGUCGUCAAGAGGGAAACAACCCAGACUACCAGCUAAGGUCCCUAAAUCUUACUUAAGUGGAAAACGAUGUGAAGUUACUUAAACAACCAGGAGGUUGGCUUAGAAGCAGCCAUCCUUUAAAGAAAGCGUAAUAGCUCACUGGUCUAGUGAUUUUGCGCGGAAAAUAUAACGGGGCUAAAGU
rnacentral:rRNA from 1 species